UAUGUCCGGUAGGUAAGGUUACCACAGGGAUAUGGAUUGCUGCCGCAGAAUAGUGGAGACACUAUGAGUUGGUUAGCAGGCUAUGUCGACAAUAAGGCAUAAUCUAAUGCAAUUACAAGAUGAUUAUCAUCGUGCCCUGCGAAACUAAAGCUUGAACGGUG
rnacentral:sRNA from 1 species